rnacentral:rRNA from 11 species
AUCUCUUGGUUCCAGCAUCGAUGAAGAACGCAGCGAAAUGCGAUAAGUAAUGUGAAUUGCAGAAUUCAGUGAAUCAUCGAAUCUUUGAACGCACAUUGCGCCCCUCGGUAUUCUGGGGGGCAUGCCUGUUCGAGCGUCAUU